GGGCAGUUGAGCUUAAUGGUAAAGCACUUGACUGGUAAUCACAGAGAUAUGAGUUUGAGUCUCAUGGUUGGCCA
rnacentral:tRNA from 1 species